rfam:Paramesorhizobium deserti strain A-3-E Scaffold1, whole genome shotgun sequence.
ACUUGCAGGCGCGUCUCCUCCCAUUGCGCGCGGCAAGUGUUCCCCUCUGGAGGUUUUGCCCGAUGGGCACCUUCACAACUUGAAGCCGGGCUUUCUUGAAGUCCGGCUCUUUU